GUGCCAGCAGCCGCGGUAAUACGAAGGGUGCGAGCGUUGUUCGGAAUUAUUGGGCGUAAAGGGUUCGUAGGCGGGAGAAUAAGUUAAGUGUGAAAGACCUGGGCUUAACCUGGGAGUGUCACUUAAAACUGUUUUUCUUGAGUCUCAGAGAGGGUGGUGGAAUUGCUGGUGUAGGAGUGACAUCCGUAGAGAUCAGCAGGAACAUCGGAGGCGAAGGCGACCACCUGGCUGAAGACUGACGCUGAGGAACGAAAGCGUGGGGAGCAAACAGGAUUAGAAACCCUUGUAGUCC
rnacentral:rRNA from 1 species